rnacentral:tRNA from 1 species
AGGUACAUGGUACUUGGUACCUGGAUGGGACCCACAACAUCUACCUCCCCCUGCCCCACCCUUCUUGACAUGGUGGGGGUCGUUGGUUCGAGUCCAAUCGCGCCUACCA